CCUGGUAGACUCAGUCCAGGCAGGUCCAGUCCCCUCCUCCCAGGCCGAGGGAUCUGGAUACAGAGAUCCAUGGCUAGGCCCUGGGUGGAGCUCUGGGAGUCCAAUUAGCGAGAAUGAGGAGGGUUUAUAUAAGCGAGAAUUGUUGAGACCAAGGUUGGAUAAAGCACAGGGACAAAUAGCCAAACGAAUGGAAACAUAUGAACUAUGAACCAAUGACUAAGGGGUCACCAACUGGAUCAGGCCCUCUGAAUGGGUGAGACAGUUGAUUGGCUUGAUCUGUUUGGGAGGCAUCCAGGCAGUGGGACCAGGUCUUUGAUAUUCUUAACUGCAGAAAAAACAUUUGAUUGUAAAAGCUAUUAAGUUAAGCCAAUAUGUAUAUUUUAAAGAUACCUUGAGUUCAAAAUUUGGAUAUAAGGAUAUGUUGCUUUGGAAAGGAGGCUCUGCUUUUGUUUCCACAGAAAGCCAGAGGCUAUGAAUUUGUUCCAGAUUAAGAUACAUCAGGUUUGACCAGCCAAGACUCCCUGAAAGGUCUCCGAUGACACCAUGGCCUAGAUGAUCCAACAUCCACAAUGGUUUCAAGGCAACUGGCUCAGACAAUACAGCAUCACGAACUACUCCAUAAUCAUAGAAAUUUCUUUGUGUCCCCAUAAGACACAGCACCCCCCCCCUCCAGCAGGAAGUAAUAAGAGAAGCUAUGCCCAAAUUCCCAAAUAUACCAAGCUGUCUUUGGAGAUGGAAUUGGCUCACUCCUUUUCUAAACCUAAGCAUAUUACUAAAAGAAAAGGUUAAGAGAUUCUUGUAUCCCAUAUCAGAAGAGCCCUCUGGUGUGGGACAGAUAAAAAUCAAUACUUUUAUUUAAACCAGGUUGAAUAUAAAUACAAUCUCUUUCUAAAGAAGAAAGGGGGAUAGUAUAGACAACUAUAGGAUGAAAGAGUAAAUUAAUGAACCUACUUUUAAAGAACAAUAACUUGUUUAGAAAUGUUUUACAUUGCUAUAGAUUUUAGUUUAUUGAUACAAGUUUAAACUUAAGUUUGUUAUACUGUAUAUGUAUUUCUACUCUCAUUUGAGGUAUUAUAUUUAUAUAACUCAUUUAAAUUAUAAUGGAUAAUUAAAAAUACAGAUUAAUAGUCUUCUGUGAUAGUCAAACUUGUAGCCAUGUUAGUUACGUUUUCUAGGUAUACAUAGAUAUAUUUCAGAUAGAUAGGUAAUCUUCAAACACUUCAAAGACCUACAGAAUAUGGCAUUUAAAAUAUGUUUAAAAAUUUAGACUUUCUGGACAGUGAGACAUGUCUGCUCCUGGCAGCAUCGAUUUACUUCAGAGAGGAGGAUGGGCAUUGAAGACACACUAUAUGGAGUUUAUCUUCUUCUUGACAAAAAUAACCAUUCGGGCAAGAAACUGUUCUUGCCUGGACUGCUUGAUUGACUGGACAUGCAGGACUCAUAGGAAGGUGACUACUGAACUUUGCUUGGAAAAUGGUCCUUCGGGUUCCUGUUUCACAAAGGAAACUGCCAGACAUUCUACAGGUAACACAGAGAGAAGUGACUGAGAGACUCUAGGCCUGUGGCUGAAGACAGAUAUCCCAACUUUACAGAAGAACUUUGGAUGACUGUCUAGGCUGCCAGCUGUCUCUGUCUACUCUUGUAAGACUCCCAAAAGUUGCUUGCCUCCUUCUCCGGUUUCUCAGGUUUUGAUGUGCUGGAACAUCAAACCCAACAUUGCUACAAGAAAUGAGGAAUUUCUAGUCAUCAUCUACUCUUUUGGAACUUCAUAGUUCCAACUUAAUGAUCUAAUUCACUAGACAACAUAACAACCAUGGAAAAGGCCUAUUAAGUCAAUGGUUCCAGACUUCUCAGAACAACACACCACCUAAGAUGUGAAAGAUGUGCAGAUGAAUAAGGCCAAGGACUCACUUUUCCAAGCCUACCCUUGGGUUCAUGUGCCUUCUCAGGUACUGGUGAGCACAGCAGCGGUGAGAUCUCCUCCAGCCUCUGCUACAGAUAGAAUUCUGAGUGGCUUCUAUGACACCUAUCCUGUUGAUAAAUACCUUCAACAUUUCCUCCUUUGGAUAACAACCUGGACCCACCAAAACAAUGGGACUUUGUUGUUCUCGUGUUUUAUGUUAUUUGACAAAAGUGAAGGUAUCUAAAAACUCUCAGCAGGGUCAAAACCCUGAUGAUUUGGAUUAGUCAGGAAGGAUAUUGUCCUGAGAAGUUAUAAGGACAUGAAAGUCAUUCAAUAGAGAUUGAACCCUUCCCCAGAGAAGCAGAGAACUGAGGUCCUGAUGGAUACAUUGAAAUAGUGAGCUGCCCUGUUAUGAGGACCAGUGGAUGCUCUCCUCUGAAUUUCUUCCCUCUAUCAUGCUCUGUAGAAUUAAGCUUUUUCAAAGUGUUUUUCUGUGACUCAUUACAUUUCAAA